GCUCUCGUAGUAUAGUGGUUUAAUGCGGGGACUGUACGCAGAGGGUCGAGAGUUCGAUCCUCGUCGAGAGCU